rnacentral:misc_RNA from 1 species
UUUUGUUGCAUGCCUACAUGUGAAGCCUUGAAUCCAAGUCCGUCCACCUACAGUGUAGGUAGACGUGCGACACCAUCCUGUUGCUGGAAUGACUCCUCGGAGCAGAUCAGCAGCCGCCACGCUGGCGGUCCACAGAUCAAACGAUGGUGGCCCUCGGCUCUGACCGAUGGUUAAGAUAUGACCGGCCUGCCCUAGAGAUGGGUCAGAUUGAAGUGUUCCGUAGGUGAACCUGCGGAAGGAUCAUUAACGAAAUAGAGAGUAGCCCUGAAGGUUCUGUGCUUUGCACCGCGCCUCACGGUUAUACCCUAUCACCCAAUGUCUACAUUCCUUCUGUUGCUUUGGCAGACCCGUGGGUAACCACCGCCGGGCUUCCCGGUGUGCGGCUGUCAGAGGACCAUCAAACUCAAUCAAUCAGUUGUCUGAGCAAAAUAUACAAUAGUUAAAACUUUCAACAACGGAUCUCUUGGUUCCG